rnacentral:rRNA from 1 species
AUUGAACGCUGGCGGCAGGCCUAACACAUGCAAGUCGAACGAGUGGCGGACGGGUGAGUAAUGUCUGGGAAACUGCCCGAUGGAGGGGGAUAACUACUGGAAACGGUAGCUAAUACCGCAUACCAUCGGAUGUGCCCAGAUGGGAUGAGCUAGUAGGUGGGGUAACGGCUCACCUAGGCGACGAUCCCUACCUGGUCUGAGAGGAUGACCAGCCACACGGGAACUGAGACACGGUCGAGACACCUAAGUGAGGCAGCAGUGGGGAAUAUUGCACAAGGGGUGAAAGCCUGAUGCAGCCAUGUCGCGUGUAUGAAGAAGGCCUUCGGGUUGGAAAGUACUUUCAGCGAGGAGGCGGUACUCGCAGAAGAAGCACCGGCUAACUCCGUGCCAGCAGCCGCGGUAAUAC